GUUCGCAAGAAGGGUAGGGACUUCAGUAAAUCCAAAACCGGUUCUGUCCUUGCCUUCAAAGUCACCUUCAGAGACUUCAAUCCUCUUGAUUCCUACAUAUGGUUUGAAUUCUAUGGAUCGCCAUCUGAUCGUGACGUCGAGCUCUUUGGCAGUGUUAUUCAGUCAUGGUAUGUUAUGGGACGCUUGGGUGCCUUUAAUUCUACUAAUCUGCAGCUUGCAAAUUCUUCCAUGGAGUAUAAUCCCCUCUAUGAUGUGGAUAAGGGUUUCAAAGUGAUGCCAUCUUCAUUUCAUGAUAUCAGUGAUGUUGAGUUUCAGGAUAACUGGGGUCGUGUUUGGUAUGCGUUGCA